rnacentral:rRNA from 1 species
CGGGACGGGUGGGUAAUGUCUGGGAAACUGCCUGAUGGAGGGGGGUAACUACUGGAAACGGUAGCUAAUACCGCAUAACGUCGCAAGACCAAAGAGGGGGACCUUCGGGCCUCUUGCCAUCGGAUGUGCCCAGAUGGGAUUAGCUAGUAGGUGGGGUAACGGCUCACCUAGGCGACGAUCCCUAGCUGGUCUGAGAGGAUGACCAGCCACACUGGAACUGAGACACGGUCCAG